UAUUAGAGGUACUGCCUGCCCAGUGAAAGCUUUUUAAACGGCCGCGGUAUCCUAACCGUGCAAAGGUAGCGCAAUCAUUUGUCCCUUAAAUGAGGACUAGUAUGAAAGGCAACAUGAGGGCCUAACUGUCUCCUACAGCCACUCAAUGAAAUUGAUCUCCUAGUACAAAAGCUAGGAUAUGCCCAUAAGACGAGAAGACCCUGUGGAGCUUCAAGCUAAUAUAUUAACCCACCCCACCGGUCUAUAAUAUAAACUUUAAGUUGGGGCGACUAAGGAGUAAAACGAAACCUCCAUGAACCACGACUUACAGUCGUUAUAAUAGGCGAACCCGCCUAACAUUAUAAUAACCGACCCAGCACAGCUGAUCACCGAACCAAGUUACCCCAGGGAUAACAGCGCCAUCCCCUUAAAGAGUUCCUAUCGCUAAGGGGGUUUACGACCUCGAUGUUGGAUCAGGACACCCCGGUGGUGCAGCCGCUACCAAAGGUUCGUUUGUUCAACGAG
rnacentral:rRNA from 1 species